rnacentral:rRNA from 1 species
AGAGUUUGAUCAUGGCUCAGGAUGAACGCUAGCGGCAGGCCUAACACAUGCAAGUCGAGGGGUAACAUAGAGUGCUUGCACUCUGAUGACGACCGGCGCACGGGUGAGUAACGCGUAUACAAUCUGCCUCAUACUAGGGGAUAGCCCAGAGAAAUUUGGAUUAAUACCCUAUAGUAUCUUUUAGAGUCAUCUCUUUAAGAUUAAAGGUUACGGUAUGAGAUGAGUAUGCGUUCUAUUAGUUAGUAGGUGAGGUAACGGCUCACCUAGACCACGAUAGAUAGGGGCCCUGAGAGGGGGAUCCCCCACACUGGUACUGAGACACGGACCAGACUCCUACGGGAGGCAGCAGUGAGGAAUAUUAGACAAUGGGCGAAAGCCUGAUCUAGCCAUGCCGCGUGCAGGAUGACGGCCCUAUGGGUUGUAAACUGCUUUUAUACAGGAAGAAAAAACUCUACGUGUAGAGUCUUGACGGUACUGUAAGAAUAAGGAUCGGCUAACUCCGUGCCAGCAGCCGCGGUAAUACGGAGGAUCCAAGCGUUAUCCGGAAUUAUUGGGUUUAAAGGGUCCGUAGGUGGACAAUUAAGUCAGAGGUGAAAUCCUGCAGCUCAACUGUAAAAUUGCCUUUGAAACUGGUUGUCUUGAGUCAUUAUGAAGUGGUUAGAAUGUGUAGUGUAGCGGUGAAAUGCAUANAUAUUACNCAGAAN